CUCAGGACUGAAACUGCAGACCUUCCAGCUCUCCCUUUACCUUCUGCCAUGUUUGGGAGCUUCCUGAGGCCUUCCCAGAAGCAGAUGCCAGUAUGCUGCCUGUACAACCUGCAGAACUUUCACAGGUUCCAGGAUAACCAGAUGACUGAGGAAUGUUGAAGAUUGCAGUGAUGGAAGUGCCUCAGUCAGCCUGGAAGACUGUAUGGAUGGAGGUUGCCUGGCCACACUGUCAUGUCCCUCUCUCCCUGAAAAAGAGACACAUUUGCCUUUGGGCAAGGCAAUACAUACAUUUGGUCUAUGUAUACACUUUGGUCUAUGCAUUCUGUUAUUUAACAUUCUAAUAAUGUUGAUGACCUUAAAAUAUGCUUGACAAUGAUCCGUGUAAAUCAUUAUUAUUCUGCCUUCUGCAAGAUAAGAAUUAUGGGCCAGGUAUGGCACUUAACGCCUAUAAUACAAACAUUUUGGAAGGCCAAGGCAGGAGGAUUGCUUGAGCUCAGGAGUUAGAGACCAGCUUGGGCAACAUAGUGAGACCUCAUCUCUACUAAAAAUAAAACAAAAAAAGUUAUGAGAGUGACACUGCACUCCAGCUUGGGUGACAGAGCGAGAUCCUGUAUCCAAAUAAAUAAAUAUCUAAUAUAGGAAUUAUCAAAUUCAACACAUAUUAAUUAUUUUCAUAUCCAUUUAUGGAAAAUAAUAAUGUGGGGAUGAUUCUUAAAAGGGAUUCUGGAAGUGGUUUCUUCAAUUAAAUAUAUUCAAAACUCAUUCCCGCUUACUACACAAAUCAAAGAGGAAUUGAAAAUGUGUGUGAUUCCCACUAAAUUAUUUUCCUUUCAUAUGGCUUGAUGUUACUGUCUUUGUGGAGUGGCUGAGAAAUGUCUCCUUCUUGCCUUUAUCUUCAAAGGCUCUGCCAAUGUGAAGUACAGGAGAGAGAGGCAAGAGCAGGGCCCACUAGUGGAAUCAUCUCAGCCUUAUUCCCCAGGGGAAAACACAUUCUUUUUCACUUUCCUGAGCUGCCUUAUCUGAUAAAAAUGAUUCUUACAUCUCCCAGCAAUGCCUUCUGAUUGUAAUGUAGUUUAUGCCACUGGUUUGCCUAUUUCUCAAAUAUAAACCUACACGCAUGUACACACAUUUGGCCUUAGCCUUUCUAAUUCCACUCUCAUCAGGACAGAUUGCACACCUGUAAACAUUCUUAGAUCAACUCCAGUAAUCAAUCCACAUUCAUGUAACCCCUGCAGAAUAAAGAUCAUUGGAGACCUUCAAGAUUGACUUCCCAUUUAAACCGUAAGAAAACAAGACCCCAAUGUGUCAGCUGCAGAACCACAAUAAGGACCUAAGUCCCAUGUCUUAUUGUUCAGUGGUUUUUCUAAGUCACUGUAAAAUUUUUCUACAUUCCUGGCCUGAGAACAGAAGUACCUUUUGCUUAUCUAUUCAAUUAAAUUCAGUAGUUGGUAAAUGUGAAUAAAGGAAAUCAAAACACUAUUGAAGAUUAUUUAGAUAUGGCUGAGAAGUGGGGUGAACAAACCUGACCCACUUUAACUUAGAGAUUCAAAAUAUAAACUUAACUCAGUUGCAGUCAACAACCUGACAUUAAAUGCAAACAUACAAGUAAAGAACCCAAGUAAACAGAAAAAACUAACCUGCUACCUACCUUUAAACACUAAAUAUAGAGCUCCUGUCGUCCUGUUUCUUACUGAUUUAUAACUUCAAAUAAUGGGUCAAGAAAAAAGCUACAUAUAUGAAAAGAUGAGAUCUGCGUUUCAAUCCAAAUCUUUCUUUCAAUAACCCUACUACUUGAAACCAUAGAAGGAGACAGGAACUUCCUCCCUUGUUUCUUUUUUCUUUUUCAAAACUACCCACUAAUCUUUUAAUUAAAAGUGAAUGAUGGAGAGAUGGCAAGUGAGCAGGAGAAGCUGAGGAACACAGCUCCCUUAUGUAUUUGCACAACGCUAAUCACUCUUCACAUCUUACAGAGAGAUCUGUACUAGUUACAUGGAAUCUAAUCUGUUCUACUAAAGCUGAUGCUGUCAGCUGCCAUGCUUAGCUCUCAUUCAUUAUGCUUGUAGACACAUUUUGAGAAAAUACAUUAUCUAGAAGAGAAACUUCUAAGAAGGUUUUAUAUACUAUAUGAUGCUAAUAUUUUAGAUAAUGUUUUAUGCUAGUUUAAUCUUUGUGUAUUGAAAGAACUCUGAUUUUCCUGGAAGUCCCUAGACAGUACAUUUAAUUAAUCUUACCUCUCAGUUCAACAAGUUGCCUUUUACUUUAGUCAUAUAAUCAAUCUCUUGGUAAUAAUAUAUAGUGAUAUCCAGGCAUGUAUGAUGCAAGCAAGUUUUUAGUUUAAAGCUAAGGAAUUAAAAUGAAAACAAUACAUAGUGCUCUCUGUACAACAAUGACUGAGAAUAGGUAGUCGUGCUCUUUAUAUACAAGGCACUGUGCUGAGCAUAUUUUGUAAGUUAUUGCCAUGAUUCCAUGUAAUUAUGUAUUAUAAUUUUACCUUUGAAGAAGAUAAGCCUCAAAAAUGGCAAGCAGUUCACCCACCCACAUUUAAAUGUCUGUUACACCUCUGAGAUAUACAACCCAUGAAUUCUACCAUUAUUCACUCUGUCUGUCAACUCCAUUCUGUCUUCAUGUACCUCCCAGCCCAAUUGAUGUGUCAAGGCAUUGGAUUUAAUUCAUUCACUCCAGAAAUAUUUAUCACAUGCUUAUAGGUGCUUGGCUCUCUUCUAGGUGCCCAAGUCACAUCAGUGAAAAAAAAAAAUAAACAAGAUCCUCAUCCUCAUCAAGCUUAUAUUUAUUUCCCAACAUCUGAUUUCAAUUUCCUUGCCAUGCACUCCUUUCAUCAUAGAAGCCUUACAAAAUCCCCAAUCCAAUUGAAUCUAAUUCUGUGCUUCAUGUUUCUCACCCUCGCUUGGUAAAACCCACAACUGUGCUUGCCGGAUUUUACCAUAAAUUACUAACCAUGAACUUCAAGUGGUCUAUUAGUGAUCAGUACCAACGCUUUAAUAGUUGUCUGCUCCUUUGACUCUUUCACAUUCCUAAAAGAUUUUCCAUUUUUCUCUGUCUCCUUCCAGCAACUCCUGGCCAAUUCUUAUCUCACCUAAUGACUUUGAUUCUUAUUAUACAAAGACAAUAGUAAAAAUCAGAAGAGUACUUAUACAAACUACCACCAUGAAAAUCAUCACUCUACCUGUAUCUCUCCCGACUCUUGAUCAUCCUUCCUACCACUGUGGAGAAAUUUUUCUGUGCAUUUUUGUUCUCAGUACUGCUGAAGAUUUUUUCCAUGCUUCUGUCCAAGGAGGGCAUCUCUUCACUAGAUCCCAGUUGUAUCAUUCUAGCAUUGGCGCUUAUUUUCUCGCAUAUCACUGGCUUUCCAAUUUUUCCCUUUUAAAAGGAUAAUUCUUAUAAAUUUACAGCUAUAAUAGAUAACAGAAAAAAGCCUCUCUUGAUCCAAGGUCUCCUUCCGUUUCCCACCCCAUUUAUCUCUUUUUCUUUACAUUAAAGUUUUUCCAACUGUUUCCAGUUUCUCCCACAGAAUUCUCUCCUUAAUCUAGCCCUGGAAGACUCUCAGGCCUAUGACUUCAAAAUGAGAUCCUCCACCCAGACCAUUAUUGAUCUCAAAGUUGCUAAGUUCAGGUAAAUUCCUGGUACUUGUCUUACUUGACCUCUGUGGUGCUUAAAUUAGCUGAUCCCUUUCCUUCUUGAAACACAUUGUCCAGUUUAUUUCCAGGAUGCCAUUUUCUUGAUUCUUCUCAUGAGAUUCUGCUCAGAUUUCUUUGUUUGAUCUUUCUCAACUCUCCAGCCUUUGAAAUUUGGGAUGCACUAAAACUCAGUCCAUUGAUAUUUCCUUUUAAAAAUGCCCAUUGCCCUACUGAACACAUCUAGUCUCGUAUCAUCUACACAUGGAUGAUUUCCCAAUUUAUAUUUCCACAUUUAAAUGCCUACUCUAAAUAUUUGCAUGGCUAUCUAAAAAGCAUCUCAAAUGUAACAUGCCCAUAUUUGAUCUCCCUCAUACUUCCCUCUUCCAAUAAAAUUUUCAAGUCUUCUUCUCAGUAAUGGUAAAUACUCUCUACGGCCAUAUCAUCCUGAACAUGCACAAUCUCAUUAACAAUGGCAAAUACUUUCUUCCAGAUGCUGAUGUGGAAAACCUAAUGUUCAUCCUUGAUUAAUAUUUUUCUCUUACAUCACAUAUCUCACCCACCCCUGUACCACCUGUUUCAAGCCAUCAUCACUUUACACCUGCAUUAUUGCAAUAUCCUCCUAAGAAGCUGCUCUUUUUUUUCACCACCUCCAACAUCAGCUCGUAACACAGCAGCCAAAAUGACCAUUUUAAAAUAAAAGUUAGAUCCUCUCUCUCUCUCAGUAUAAACGCUCUUUCUCAGAGUAAAAGCCAGGUCUAACAAUGGCACCUCAUAAUUGUCCAUCUUAUCUCCUGACCUCAUUUCUUACCUCUCUCCUUCUCUAGCUCUUUUCCUUAUACCCUGGAAUCCUUGAACUUGAUCCAGACUCAGGACCUCUUCCUGGAACAUUCUACUCUCUGAUAGCUCUAGAACUAGAAUAUAAGGUAAAUAACACUUGCUGAUUUGAAAAAUAUACUACAAACCUAAGUGGUUUAAUACAAUAUCUUUUUUUUUUUUUUUUUGGCUAAUAUUACAGUCCAGUGAGAAUAUGACAGCACCUCUGGUUAGCUCUCUUCUAAGCAGAGAUUAAGUCCUUGAUUUUGGUCCUAAAGAGAGAAAGAAAAAGCAAGGAGAAGAGUACAGUGAGUUUUAAGAGUCUGACCUGUAAAUGGCCUACAUUUUUCCUUCCCACAUUUCAACAACUACUGCUCAGUCUCAUGACUAAUCUAUCUGCAAAGAGAUAAAUUCAGAAGCACAAAGCUAGCCUAAAUAUUAGAAUGCCCCCCCCCCCCAGAUCUCUGCCACAUUAGUCCCCUGCUUUCCUCAGGAAGACAAGGGAAACUUUUUCUGGCUACCCUGCUUACAAGAGCAACACUUCCUAAAUUAAAUGUUGCUCAGUGAUCUCCAAUCCUGCUUGUUUGUUUGCUGGUUUGAGACAGAGUCAUGCUCUGUCACCCAGGCUGGAGUGCAGUGGUGUGAUCUUGGCUCACUCUAAGCUCCACCUCAUGGGUUCAAGUGAUUAUCCUGCCUCAGCCUCCCAAGUAGCUGGGAUUACAGGUGCCCAGCACUACGCCUGGCUAAUUUUUGUAUUUUUAGUUGAGACGGGGUUUCACCAUGUUGGCCAGGCUAGUCUCAAACUCCUGACCUCAAGUGAUCCAUCUGCCUCGGCCUCCCAAAGUGCUGGGAUUACAGGUGUGACCCACUGGGCCCGGCCCAAUCCUGUUUUUUUAAUGUCCCUGGACACCCAGCUCAACUGCAUGUUUUGCUUUUCUUAAAGUUAGGUGAAGUCAGGCAAUGGAGCUUUUAGACAAGAAAAUGCAUAUAAACUGAGUGGAAUUGAUCAAACCUUGUAAUCCUGCUUCCUUAAAAUGCCUGUGUGCUGUUCUCUACUCCCUUUCUUCAACCACCAACUGAACACAGGGUUCUAGAGUUCUCAGGAGGGCAGAUACAAGAGAGCAGGAGGAUGGGUUCCUGAAUGACCACAUGGAAGGCUUCCCACUAAUAAGAAAUCUUAGUAUUGGACUUCACAUAAACACUGAGAAAAUGGCUCUUUGGGAAGCCACUAAAAUUUUUUUAUUUAUCUGUUAUAGCAGUUAGUUAUAGCCUUCCCAAUUCAAUGUCCUAUGUCUCUGAAUGUGCUUUAUUUAAAACCACAUCACUUAUCACCAUCUGACAUAUUCUGUAUUUGCCUGUCACUUUUUCUCCUGUGUCUUCUGUCCAGAGAAAGUGUUGGCCAACUAUAACCCAAGAGCCAAAUCUAGCUUGCUUCCUGUUUUCAUAUGUAAUUAUUUAUUGGAAUAUAGCCACAGCUAUUCAUUUCUGUAUUUAGAGAGGAGCUGUGUCUAUGCUACAACAGGAGAGUUCAGUAGUUGCAACAGAGAAACUGUAUGAUCUACAAACAAUAUUUACUAUCUGGCCCUUUACAGAAACAGUUUGCCAAUGUUUGUACUAGAAUGUAAACUCCAAGAAUGUAAAACCUUUGUCUCUUUAGUUUGCUGUUAUAUACCCAGCAUUAGAACAGUCUCUGGUCCAUUGCAGGUAUUCAUAUAAUAUUUGUUAAAUGCAUAAUUGAAUAAGUGAAUGAGUGUGCAGCAAGCCAAAAAUGUUCCAGAAAAAAAAUUCAUAUCUAAAUUUCUUGAACCUCUGAAUAUUGCCUUACAUGAAAAAUCAGACAAACAAAAAUCAAUCAUUGCAUGUGAUUAAGUUAAAGAUCUUGACCUAAAAGAUUAUCCAGUAUUAGCCAGAUGGACUCUAAAUACAAUCACAUGUAUCUGUAUAAGAGGGAAGCAGAAAGAAAUUUGACCACACAGACAGAAAAGGAGAGGGGAUGUGAUCACACAGGCAGAGGUUAGACUGAUGUACCACAAGCCAAUGAAUGUUGGUGGCCACUAGAAAUAUUAUCUAAAGGAUUAGGAAUUAUCUGUUUAGAACUUUCCUGAUGGCCACACCCUCCAAACCCCCGAUACUGAUUUCAGAUUUAUGACAUCCAGAACUGUAAAAGAAUAAAUUUCUAUUGUUUAAGCCACCAAGUUUCCAGUAAUUUGUUACAGAGGCAGCAGGAAACCAAUACAGAGGGGAAAAUGACUUAAAACUACUUCUAAUUCCAAGAUAAUGUUCAAAAUGUUCAUGCAAAAACUACUUCUUGUGUCAACAUUCAGUCUAUAUAAGUGCUCUUGAAAUUAAUUAUCACUAUAAUUCAGUCUCAUGAGGAAAAAUAUUUUGGCUUUUUUUGUGAACCAAAAAUUUAUAGCAAUUCAUAAGUUACAGUUUAUGGAUGAAAUUAAACAUAUUUGAGAUUAUUUUUAUAUUAGCACUUUAUAAAUCAGUUGCUGAAAUAGUCUGUUUUGAAAUAUUAGAUAUAACUGCCAGGAAUAAUUCUGAUAUUUUCUUUAACACAUUUUAGUCAUUUCUUGAAUUGCAAUGUUUUAUUAUCAUAAAUUGCCAAACUAAUAAAAUUAAUUGCUAUUGAAAAAUAAGAAUUGUGAAUGUCUUCAGGGUGAGGGCUGAGCAUGUAAAAAGUUUUUUUUUUUCCUUAAAAAAAUGGGACUCAGGGGAGGAAGUUCCCUUCUUCUCCUUCAGAGAAUGUGGUCAUGAUCAUUUCUCCCUGCAAAGACCUGGAAAGGCUGCAGCCGUUUUGGAAAUACGGACUUACACUUGGCUGAUAGGCUGAGUCUGGGAGAGUGCAAAGAUGAAAAAACACCUAGCACAUGGAUCGUGUCACUGAGCUACUGAAUCAAUCACGGAACCAUGCUCCAUCUGUACUUUGUGUUCUCUCAUAGAAUAAAUGUUCACUUUGGGUUGUGUAUCCAUUACUUGAAGCUAAAAAUCUCCCCAUGUAGGCAAUGAUCACUACAAUGGGUUACUUACGUUUCUGAGUAACGUACUCAUUUAAUGAAAAAAAGAUAGAGCAAAGUCCUCAAUCAUAUUUAUCAAUUAACAAGGGUCUGACUAAAACUACUUGAGGUUCCAGGGAGAUAACGUGGGAACCAAGAUAUUUAAUUGUCCAUCUGCCAUUUGAGGAUUUUUUUUUCCCCACAAAAGGAAUCAAUUUGUGUAGCCAUGAUGGUGACUUCAGCUGAUGCCUCUGUUGAGCACUGGCUGUACUGUUUAAAUGAUAUACUAAAAUGGACAAAUGGGCAGAAGCUUCUUCACAAAGAGCAAAUCUAUCUCUGGUUUGCGUGGUAACUUUCAUGCCUGUAGUAGAAUAAACUUCAAUAUAUCCUAUUUAUAAAAUUGCUCUGAAAAUGGAAGACAUCUUAAAAUGUUGGCAUGCACUCAAUAAGGUGGUAUUCUCUCCAAAUUUAAUAUAAAAUUAAUGUUUUAAAAUUGACAACAUCUUUGAAUCUACAAAAUACAUGUGCCCCACUCCAGACCUACUGCCACAUUGACUCUAUACCUACUAAUCUAACAAAUAGUGAGCUUGUUUGGAUUUUGCCAAAAGCAAAUAUUUAAACAUGAGAACAGUUAAUAUUCCCAAUUGCUGCUUCAUAUAAAACUAAGCUAGCAUUUAUUUUAUCUCCCUGUCUUGUUCCUUGUGCACUGUUCUGGCUCUGUAAGAACACUAGACUUUGCAUGAGAAAACUAAGGAUUCAACUGAAGAUGAUUUAUUAAGUUGGUGAUUUAUUUAAGUACAUUUAUUGUCAUUGUUUUGCAACACAUAAUACAAUUUCCAAAAUAACUAGGAAUUGUUUUCUUCUAUUUUAUAUUGUUUUUUGAAUUUCCUCUAUGAAGGAAUCAUUUAACCUUUCAGUUUAGGCACUAUAUUUUUUACCUCAUUAUGCAACAGAAAUGUUUUGAAAGUUGUAGUCUGAAACCCAGAAUUCAGUCUUAGCUCCACAACUUAGUGGUUACUUAGCUCUUCCAAUCUCUGCAUUUGCAUAAGUUUGGGGAUAACCGUAAUUAAGAUACCUUACCUUAAGUGGUAAGAUUUGGGGAUUAAAUGACAAAAUCAGAAAAGUCUUUGUUUGUGUUUAAGUUCUGUAUACAGAUGUUCCU
rnacentral:lncRNA from 1 species